rnacentral:rRNA from 1 species
CAGUAGCCGCGGGAAUACGGAGGGUGCAAGCGUUAAUCGGAAUUACUGGGCGUAAAGCGCACGCAGGCGGUCUGACAAGUCAGAUGUGAAAUCCCCGGGCUUAACCUGGGAACUGCAUUUGAAACUGUCAGGCUGGAGUCUUGUAGAGGGGGGUGGAAUUCCAGGUGUAGCGGUGAAAUGCGUAGAGAUCUGGAGGAAUACCGGUGGCGAAGGCGGCCCCCUGGACAAAGACUGACGCUCAGGUGCGAAAGCGUGGGGAGCAAACAGGAUUAGAUACCCGGGUAGUCCCUGUCUCUUAUAA